rnacentral:lncRNA from 1 species
GGCAAGGUAAUUAAGGAAAUCUUAGAUUUAACAGCUACAUUGGUCUCGAUCAAAAGUGUGUCUGAAAACAUCCUAACUGUGCUCGCACUCGCGCCACCACCUGCAAUGGCUAUAACCAAAAAUCUCUACAAGAUGGAAGCUUAGGAAAGAAAAGCACCUGAACAGGAAAGCUAAGCACUACAACCAAGAGAAGCACAAGAC